GAUGAACGCUGGCGGCGUGCCUAAUACAUGCAAGUCGAGCGAACAGACGAGGAGCUUGCUCCUCUGACGUUAGCGGCGGACGGGUGAGUAACACGUGGAUAACCUACCUAUAAGACUGGGAUAACUUCGGGAAACCGGCGCUAAUACCGGAUAAUAUAUUGAACCGCAUGGUUCAAUAGUGAAAGACGGUUUUGCUGUCACUUAUAGAUGGAUCCGCGCCGCAUUAGCUAGUUGGUAAGGUAACGGCUUACCAAGGCGACGAUGCGUAGCCGACCUGAGAGAGUGAUCGGCCACACUGGAACUGAGACACGGUCCAUACUCCUACGGGAGGCAGCAGUAGGGAAUCUUCCGCAAUGGGCGAAAGCCUGACGGAGCAACGCCGCGUGAGUGAUGAAGGUCUUCGGAUCGUAAAACUCUGUUAUUAGGGAAGAACAAAUGUGUAAGUAACUAUGCACGUCUUGACGGUACCUAAUCAGAAAGCCACGGCUAACUACGUG
rnacentral:rRNA from 1 species